GCCAGUCGUCAGUCAGUUGGCCAACAAACUGGUAGCGUCUGGUGUGGCGAGCCAACAAAAGGCUGGCAGGGCGGCCAACACCGGACCCGGCCCAGAAGUCCGGGUCCGGGUCCGGGUCGUUGGAUCCACCGCUCCGCGGCUGCACGGCUGCCAAUUGAGCGGAGUUUGGGUCUCAAUUUGACGCGUAGCCAGAAGAGCCAAGAAGAGUGGCCACCGGCCAACAACAAAAACAGGUGACGCAGGAUGCGGCCAAUGGCGAGACCCUCGGCGAGGAGAUGGAGGAAACGCAGCGCACUUCUUUUUUGGCCACGGUCCGCGUUUGAUUAGCCAACUCAAACAUCAGGGCCAAGAUCAGGGCAAUUGACAGCUGCUCUCCCUGCGUUUGGCACCGUCACAAGCACACAGUGUUCAACGGUCACGGAUGGACCACAGUGGAGCCUGGGCAGUAUGCAACACCUGACGCUGCCCGCCCGGAUACCCACGUCCGUCUCGAUGAUACAGCAAAUAAGAAACAGUAAAUAAACAAUUAAAAAAAAUAAAACAUGGAGUAUCUGCUCCGCAACUGCCAAUGACAGCGACAACAACCAGUUGCUCUGUGGCCCAAAAGUGAGUGUGUAACAGUGUGUGGCUCGUGAACUGACCAGCAACGUGCCAAAAGCGAAAGGAUGGAGGAGGUGGCGGGCCCUCUGGCUCGGACCCAAGCGGCAAGAACAACUGCCAUUUGGCAGGAGCUGAUUGUUUCAUCUGGCCAGGCUUAAUGAAAGGACUCUUCCUGGCCACAAGCCGUCAAGUCGGGCAAACGCCAGCGGAGCCCCAAAGGAUAAGCAUCGCCACAACAUCGGUAUCUCCAGCGGAGGAUGCUCCAAAACAAUAUUUAACCAUGUAAAUUAAACUAAAUACUACUCAAUGGACUAAGAUCCCCAAAGGAAGCCUUAACAUCAACUCCAAAAAUCUAUAUAUACAAAAAAUUAAAUAAAACUGCAACUUUGAAUGACAAAAAACCCUUAUAGAUAAUAAUAAAUCAAAGUGUCAACCAUUGACUCUUUAUAAUAAAAUUCAACAUAAGACUUUACAAAAAUAAUACCAAUAAUUUAGUUGACAAAAAAAAAACUUUGAAAAUAAAAAAAAAAUAUAUUCAAAUUAUCCAACCAAUAACUAUUAUUCAAAUAGUUAAAAUAGUGCUUAAUCCCCAUAUGAACCAUAAUCGCAUACAAUAUAAACAUAAACUACUCAACAAGCAAUAAAAUGAGCAAUAAUUAUAUAACCCCCAGCAGUCGUUAUAUAUAUAAUACAUAAAAACAAUUAUUAAUAUACAAUAGUACCAAGCAUAAACAAUGUUGCAAUACAAUACGUAUAUAAUUCAAUGUCAAAAGUUUUAUAACGCAAAGAAAUUUUGUUUAUAAAAAGCACUUUCAAACAAUUAUAUUAAAAUUGUAUCAGCGCGGGAAAUCUUCGGUGUGGUAAAAGAAUAAGAUGUAAAACACAGCUCAAAUGGUGGGAAAUAAAUACAUCGAUUGAAGAUUAUGGAGUGGAAACAUCUGAGUGCGGAUAAGUGCUGAAAAAUGCUGCUGAAGGCCCAAAGGAAGCCUUGUUGGCCAAUUGAGGAGGAGAGCCAGAAAAUCGAGCCGACUUUCCGCUGCAACCGCCGAAGGCCUGACCAACCAAUGGCAACGAACGGCGGCGACGAAGCUCGACGAAAACGGCGGAGUCCCAGGAAUCCGAAGGAAACUAGCAGCCCUGCAGUGCAUUUAUUUUGGCAACGCGACAAGCGGCCUCCCCACACACACACACACACAAACAACAAGGACACUCUGCCCCGCUCACAUGCGCAUCGAGUGGUAUACGUAAUAUAUCAAGUAUACGCCUGUUGGCCGGCCAGUUCACAGUUUGUGUGCGUGUGUGCAAAUGGGCAAAAACGAGUGUUGCGAACUGCAUUGCGGGGCUGCCAACGACUUCAGCCAACGUUCCCGAGGACAUCGCACUCCUCCCAAACAGGAGGCCAAACGACGAGUCCUUUGCAAGCAGCGCAUUGGCUGCAGGACGACCGGCGACAGGACGACCAAUCACCAAUCACAUCGGGGCUUGUGCGCACUAUCCCGGCCGUACGAAGGACGGAAGGCACGGCAUCCAGGACCUCAGCCGGAGACUCCCGGGCCGAUAGCCAUACUUAGAUAUUAUGCCAACAGUCUCCUAUAUUUUAGUUCUCUAGCAGUAAGCCACAUGCCCAAGCCGACGCCCCCGGAACAACAUCCGAACGGGGGCGUGUCACACUAGUUUAUCGAUAGAGUUCUUAGUUUCAAGCAGAAGCUAUACGAAGAUGAUUUCAAGAAUGCAUAAGAGAAAAAGGAAUAAAAUUUGUAAAGCUUCAGAGCGGCACAACAAA